rnacentral:rRNA from 1 species
GACGACGCUGGCGGCGUGCCUAAUACAUGCAAGUAGGACGAGUUGCGAACGGGUGAGGAACGCGUGGUAACCUGCCUAUUAGAGGGGGAUCACUAUUGGAAACGAUAGCUAAUACCGCAUACCAUCGGAUGUGCCCAGAUGGGAUUAGCUGAUAGGGUGGGUAACGGCUGACCGAGGCGACGAUCCCUAGCGGGUGUGAGAGGAGGACGAGCCACACUGGAGCUUAGACACGGUCAAGAUGCAUCCGGGCGGCAGCAGUGGGGAAUAUUGCACAAUGGGGGCAAUCCUGAUGCAGCCAUGCCGCGUGUAUGAAGAAGGCCUUCGGGUUGUAAAGUACUUUCAGCGGGGAGGCUUUACCCGCAGAAGAAGCACCGGCUAACUCCGUGCCAGCAGCCGCGGUAAUUC